rnacentral:rRNA from 1 species
UUACCUCUGUGUGGUUCAUGACUGGGGUGAAGUCGUAACAAGGUAGCGCUAGGGGAACCUGGCGCUGGAUCACCUCCUUAAACGAUGAU